AGGACGAACGCUGGCGGCGUGCUUAACACAUGCAAGUCGAACGGGGUGAAGUGAUAGCUUGCUAUUAUGGAGCCUAGUGGCAAACGGGUGAGUAACGCGUAGGCAACCUGCCCUUCAGAUGGGGACAACACCUCGAAAGGGGUGCUAAUACCGAAUGACGUUUCCUAGUCGCAUGACCUGGAAACCAAAGGCCGGGCAACCGGUCACUGAAGGAUGGGCCUGCGUCUGAUUAGCUAGUUGGUGGGGUAACGGCCCACCAAGGCGACGAUCAGUAGCCGGUCUGAGAGGAUGAACGGCCACAUUGGGACUGAGACACGGCCCAAACUCCUACGGGAGGCAGCAGUGGGGAAUCUUCCGCAAUGGGCGCAAGCCUGACGGAGCAACGCCGCGUGAGUGAAGAAGGUUUUCGGAUCGUAAAGCUCUGUUGAGAGGGACGAGAGAUAUAAUCAGGAAAUGGGUUAUAGAGGACGGUACCUUUCGAGGAAGCCACGGCUAACUACGUG
rnacentral:rRNA from 1 species